rnacentral:rRNA from 1 species
UACGUAGGGGGCAAGCGUUGUCCGGAUUUAUUGGGCGUAAAGAGCGUGUAGGCGGCCAGGUAGGUCCGUUGUGAAAACUCGAGGCUCAACCUCGAGACGCCGAUGGAAACCGUCUGGCUAGAGUCCGGAAGAGGAGAGUGGAAUUCCUGGUGUAGCGGUGAAAUGCGCAGAUAUCAGGAGGAACACCAAUGGCGAAGGCAGCACUCUGGGACGUGACUGACGCUGAGACGCGAAAGCGUGGGGAGCAAACAGG